GGGUAUAUAGUUCAGUGCUAGAGUGCAUGCCUAGCAUGCACAAGGUCCUGGGUUCAAUCCCCAGUACUUCCA
rnacentral:tRNA from 1 species